rnacentral:rRNA from 1 species
GUGGGGAAUAUUGGACAAUGGGCGCAAGCCUGAUCCAGCCAUGCCGCGUGCAGGAAGACGCAUCUAUGGUGUGUAAAUUGCUUUUGUACGGGAAGAAACACUCCCUCGUGAGGGAGCUUGACGGUACCGUAAGAAUAAGGAUCGGCUAACUCCGUGCCAGCAGCCGCGGUAAUACGGAGGAUCCAAGCGUUAUCCGGAAUCAUUGGGUUUAAAGGGUCCGUAGGCGGUUUAAUCAGUCAGUGGUGAAAGCCCAUCGCUCAACGAUGGAACGGCCAUUGAUACUGUUAGACUUGAAUUACAAGGAAGUAACUAGAAUAUGUAGUGUAGCGGUGAAAUGCUUAGAUAUUACAUGGAAUACCAAUUGCGAAGGCAGGUUACUACUUGUGGAUUGACGCUGAUGGACGAAAGCGUGGGGAGCGAACAGGAUUAGAAACCCUGGUAGUCC